AAAGAUAUAGUGAAAGAAAGAGGAUUAGAAACGAGAUUAACAAUGAGAUAAUUACAACGAUAGAAUGAAAGAGAGAAAAUGGAAGCUAUAACAAGUACAACAGAUUAUAUCUAAACACAAAUAAAUCAAUAAAUAACAAAUAAGACAGUAGAGAACCAGAGACCACAACGAAGAAAAGAAUGAAGCUUGCUCAAUCAUAUAAAAAUAUUUUUAGACUGAAAAAAAUCUGGCAAAGUUACACUUCGAUUACCUUGCCAAGUAAACUUUCAGGUUUUGUGUUGUUUUUAUACCAGUAGGCUUACGUAUUUUACAUUGAAAGAUGGCUGAUAGAAACGACAUAAAUUUUGAAUCUGACAUCGAAGAAGGCAAAAGGAAGGUAAAGGUGAUGAAAUUGAACAGCAGAGACUUUGUUGUGACUGAGAUCAUGGUAUUACAUGAAGAUGAAAACAGCACUUCGAAGACUGUCUUGGAAGUAAUAAUCAAUCAUUUUAAUAUUGAACACUUCAUUACUUUUUUUUACUUUUGUUGUAAGUUAUGAUCUUAAGGGGAGCUUGGUGACCUCUUUGGUAAAGUGCUUAGCUUCAGACUUAAAAUCCAGGAAUAUUAUUUGAAUGUCCCAGAGUCCACCAAGCGUUAGUCGAGGGAAUUAAAGACGUUUGGUCGUUGUGCUGGCCACAUGGCACCCCAGUGAGCCAUAGAAACAAAUGAGAUUG
rnacentral:sRNA from 1 species